UACGUAGGGGGCAAGCGUUGUCCGGAUUUAUUGGGCGUAAAGCGCGCGUAGGCGGCGCGGUAUGUCGUGCGUGAAAUCUCCCGGCUUAACUGGGAGGGGCCGUGCGAAACUGCCGGGCUUGAGGUCAGAAGGGGAAAGUGGAAUUCCGGGUGUAGUGGUGGAAUACGUAGAUAUCCGGAGGAACACCAGCGGCGAAGGCGAGUCCCUGGACAACUCCUGACACUGAGGCACGAAAGCUAGGGGAGCAAACAGG
rnacentral:rRNA from 1 species